UAACACCAGCGCCACAAGUGGCAACCACUUUUAUUUGGCCUAAAGCGUCCGUAGCCGGUUCAGUAAAUUUCCUGUGAAAUCGUUAGGCUUAACUUAAUGUCGUGCAGGAAAGACUACUGGACUAGGGACUGGGAGGCGUCAGAGGUAUUCCUGAGGGAGCGGUAAAAUGCUAUAAUCUCAGGAGGACCUCCUGUGGCGAAAGCGUCUGACGAGAACAGAUCCGACGGUCAGGGACGAAAGCCAGGGGAGCAAACCGGAUUAGAUACCCGAGUAGUCCUGGCUGUAAACUCUGCGAGCUAGGUGUUACGUAUUCUUCGGGAAUAUGUAGUGUCGAAGCGAAGGUGUUAAGCUCGCCGCCUGGGAAUUAUGGUCGCAAGACUG
rnacentral:rRNA from 1 species